ensembl:processed_transcript 9930014A18Rik RIKEN cDNA 9930014A18 gene
AGUUCAAGUAUCAGUGCACGACCGAGUCUCGGUUCUCCUCCUCGGAGCCCGAUGCUGGGGGACGAAGGGGGGACGGUGUAGUCCGAGGCGCGUCGCUGUCGCCCUCAUCCGGCUCAGCCGGGUGCAGGUGCGUGGCGAGCUCCUGUAGCACCGCCGCGCGUCCGAUCUGGUCGUUGCGCCGCUUCUCCAUGAUCAAGUCCUCCAGGCUCUGGAACUCGAGAGUGUGGCUGCGCUGGGCCGAGAGCUGAAUCUGUAAACGGUAGGGCUGCUUGCCGAUGCGCAGCUCGCCACCGAUCUUGAACUCGCGUUUGCCGUAGCGGCACCAGGCCGCAAAGCUCUCGGAGUUGCGCCAGCUGAGCUCGCGCUCCUUGGCGCCCACGUGGGCCAGCGCGUUGCGCACUACAGCGCUAGGGCUCAGUGGCUUGUAGCGAUACAGAUCGUUGACCACGCGGCCGCGCCGGCCCUGGCUCGCAUCGGUCAGGAAGCUGUUGCUCACCUCCAGCCGGUGCAAAUGCACCACCUGGAAAUUGCCCACGUAGACAGCCCAGUGCGGGUAUUGCGCCUGCGAUACAAACUCCACCAGGUCACCCGGACUGCACUUGUUGAGCAAGUUCUCCGGUGUGUAGGUGCUCAGAGCCGCCGAUCCUGGCGCGAAGCUUUUCUGAUAGAUGCACUCAUCACGAUAAAACACCGAGCAUUCCACCUCGUGCUGCCGCGGGUCGUAGGGCUGCGGCGGGGGCAGGGGAGACCGAUCCCCGGAGUCGGACAAAGCUCCGCCAUCAAGCCCCUGGGGCGGUGGCUGAGGUUCCACAUCCUCGUCGUCAUUGGAGAAAAUAUAAGAGACUCCGAUGCGGGGCCCAUCGUCUCGAUCCACGCCGGUCGGGUCGGCCGUGGGAACUUCCUUAUAACUUAGGUGGGUCAGUUUUUCCACCUGGUUGCCCAUUACGCUGUGGACGCUCGUUCACAAGACUUCAAGAGGAGAAAGCGAAACCACCGUCAGAGUCAUUGGCACUGGUGCCCGGGCAGGGGCUAAAGCCACCUGUUGGAAGAGAAGACGAGGGAGAUGUUUGUAGGUGCCACUCCAGAAAAAGACGUUUGUUUCUUGAAAAAGAACCGGUAGGGGCCCGAGCACCUGGAGCCAUUUUAGGAGAAGUCUGGGGGACGUGCUUCCUCGCGUUUCUACACCACUAAGGUCACGAUCACUGGAGACAUGGCCACUCCAGCUUUCCCCUUCCUCCAGCUAUCACCUGGACCCAGCCAAAGCCAUUGCAUCAGCAGCUCCGACAGCUUCCGCCCGCGCCCUACCUGCCAACCCUGGGCAGGAGUGGGGGAGGGAAGGAAAUAGAAACUUUAUUCCAAUUUCCUUCUCUUUCCUAACUUCCCCUCCCACUCCGGAUCCUAACUAGCCCUUUGACGUCCUUCAAUGGCUGCACCCCCAAGAACCUGCUAGGCUCCCUCGGCGUGGAGGUGGCAGGUGAGCCUCCGGACUAGACUCACCUGCCGCAAGUCACUGCGGCUCGUCGGCCCCUCCCCCGCGCGCCUGCCCUGGGGUUCAGAUUACCUGCGCGGACUCUCUCCCCGAGAGGUAGAAGCCCUAGGGGACCGGGAGGGGCACCCUGCCGCACCCGAGACUUCUAGGGCGAGUUCGCAGGUGUGGGCUCCGCAGUGCCUCCUCUCCCAGCGCAGACCAAGGCGAAGCUGGGCUUCGGGGAAGGACGCAUUUCUCCCUCGCCGCCCCCCGCGGUUGUGUAGAGCCCCAAGACUUGAAGAUGGGGGGCAAUGCCUGUUCACGCUCGUUGCUGCACGACCCCUCACGCAGAUUUCCAGGAAGGUGGGGCACGAGGAGGGAAGCAGAAGGAGCUAGCUGGGUUUCCCCGGGGCCGCAGCUCCCGCUCGGGCUAGGCGAGCAACAAGCGCCGGAGCGGGAGGGACGGGAUUGUAGAUCCGGCUCGGAGCUCCCGGGCGGGAGUGCAGCCCGUGGCAUUUAAAGAGACAGACGUGGCUCUGAGUGCUCUGGUCUUUCCUGUACCCAGCUUAGUCCCUCGGAGCCCCGCCCCCGCCCCGCCCACUAGGGCUGCUCCGCCCUUCCAGGACCGUGCCCCCUCCGUAGCGGGUUUAAAUCGGGCUGGUACCUCCCACGGGAGCAGGCUUCCUCUACCGCCCUGAGCCCCCUUGCCUUUCUGUUAUGCUGAGUUGGGGUUCUGAGAAGUUGGAAGCAAGACGCCACCUGCCAGUAUAGAAAUGCAAGUGGUGAAAUGUUGGUCUUUCUUCCUCUUCUCCUUCCAUUUCUUCUUAGAUGGAGUAUCUAAAGAAAGAGAGACAGACUUUUCUUAUCAGAACGUUUUUAUGACCUAAAGUAGUCUGUGCUGCAACAGUUCAAGAAACACAUCAGCUAAAACCUGUUUCCAGAGCAAGUAAUAAUUUUGGAUAGUAAAUAAUAAUAAUAAUAAUUCAGAAAGAGGAAGCAGUAUAAUACAGGACUUAGUUGACUAGCUCCCCAAAUCCCUAAUGACUGUUAGGUGUCCCUCCAAGUAAACUCAACGUUAACUUCACAGUCUUCUUUGUUUUAGAUUUCCUUUCUAGUUGUGAGAGAAAGCAUGCAGAAAUGGGAUGGGGGUGUAGAGUUGCUUAAUUGUCCUUAAAUU